AACGAACGCUGGCGGCAUGCCUAACACAUGCAAGUCGAACGAGACCUUCGGGUCUAGUGGCGCACGGGUGCGUAACGCGUGGGAACCUGCCUUUAGGUUCGGAAUAAUUCAGAGAAAUUUGAGCUAAUACCGGAUGAUGUCUUCGGACCAAAGAUUUAUCGCCUUUAGAUGGGCCCGCGUUGGAUUAGCUAGUUGGUGGGGUAAAGGCCUACCAAGGCGACGAUCCAUAGCUGGUCUGAGAGGAUGAUCAGCCACACUGGGACUGAGACACGGCCCAGACUCCUACGGGAGGCAGCAGUGGGGAAUAUUGGACAAUGGGCGAAAGCCUGAUCCAGCAAUGCCGCGUGAGUGAUGAAGGCCUUAGGGUUGUAAAGCUCUUUUACCCGAGAUGAUAAUGACAGUAUCGGGAGAAUAAGCUCCGGCUAACUCCGUG
rnacentral:rRNA from 1 species